rnacentral:lncRNA from 1 species
ACUGGCAUGAUCUCAUCAUGAUCCUAAAAUCAUUAUCCUAAUCUAUAGAAUUUAUCGUAAUCAUGAAAAUAUGAUACAGUAAAUGAUAAAACACAGUACCUCAUGAAUAAAAUAACUAAUGUCAUGUAAAUGAAUAGGAAGAUAUCACAGAAAAGUCCCUUCACAUCACUAUGCGAUUGACUUGUAGGGUACUGUUGGAUAUAAAAUACCCACAGCCGAAGUCCUCAGCAGAAUCG